UACAGGGGGUGCAAACGUUGCUCGGAAUCAUUGGGCGUAAAGCGCACGUAGGCGGUUCGUUAUGUCGGAUGUGAAAGCCCUUGGCUUAACCGAGGAAGUGCAUCCGAAACUGGCGAGCUAGAGUACGAAGGAGGAUCGCGGAAUUCCCGGUGUAGAGGUGAAAUUCGUAGAUAUCGGGAGGAACACCGGUGGCGAAGGCGGCGAUCUGGGUCGAUACUGACGCUGAGGUGCGAAAGCGUGGGGGAGCAAACAGG
rnacentral:rRNA from 1 species